rnacentral:rRNA from 1 species
GACGAACGCUGGCGGCGUGCUUAACACAUGCAAGUCGAACGGAAAGGCCCUGCUUUUGUGGGGUGCUCGAGUGGCGAACGGGUGAGUAACACGCGAGUAAACUGACCUUGACUUUGGGAUAACUUCAGGGAACUGGGGCUAAUAUCGGGUAGGAGCUCCUGCUGCAUGGUGGGGGUUGGAAAAUUUCGGCGGUUGGGGAUGGACUCGCGGCUUAUCAGCUUGUUGGGGGGGUAGUGGUUUACCAAGGCUUUGAGGGGUAGCCGGCAUGAGCGGUGGACCGGCCACAAUGGUACUGAGGGACGGACCAGUCUGCAACGUGAGGCAGCGGGGGGGAGUAUUGCAGAACAAGGGGACGCCUGAUGCAGCAGUGCCGCGAGCGUGAUGACGUCCUACGAGUGAUGAACCGCUUUGGACUGUGCUAAGGACUGCUUGACGGUAAUUAAUAAAAAAGCACCGGCUAACUACGUG